GGGGGGGGGGGGGGGGGGGGGUGGGAGGGGGGGGGGGGGGGGGGGAGGGGGGGUGGGGGCUGGGGGCAGGGGGGGACGGGGGAGGAAUGGCGAGGAAACGGGCUGGUAGGGGGGGAUAACGUAGGGAAACGGGGGCUGAGACCGCAUAGGUCGUGGGGGAGGAAGUGGGGGCGUUUCGGACGUCAGCGGGUGAGAGUAGCCUAGGUCGGAAUAGCUAGUUGGUUGGGUAAAGGCAGACCAAGGCGGCGAUCCGUAACUGGUCUGAGAGGAUGAUCAGUCACACUGGAACUGAGACACGGUCCAGACUCCUACGGGAGGCAGCAGUGGGGAAUAUUGGACAAUGGGCGAAAGCCUGAUCCAGCCAUGCCGCGUGUGUGAAGAAGGUCUUCGGAUUGUAAAGCACUUUAAGUUGGGAGGAAGGGCAGUAAGUUAAUACCUUGCUGUUUUGACGUUACCAACAGAAUAAGCACCGGCUAACUUCGUG
rnacentral:rRNA from 1 species